rnacentral:siRNA from 1 species
AUGAACUUACCUCGAUACCACAAA